GAUGAACGCUGGCGGUAUGCUUAACACAUGCAAGUCGAACGGACUCUUCGGAGUUAGUGGCGGACGGGUGAGUAACGCGUGAGAAUCUGGCUUCGGGUUCGGGACAACCACUGGAAACGGUGGCUAAUACCGGAUGUGCCGAGAGGUAAAAGAGAAAUUGCCUGAAGAUGAGCUCGCGUCUGAUUAGCUAGUUGGUGAGGUAAAGGCUCACCAAGGCAGCGAUCAGUAGCUGGUCUGAGAGGAUGACCAGCCACACUGGGACUGAGACACGGCCCAGACUCCUACGGGAGGCAGCAGUGGGGAAUUUUCCGCAAUGGGCGAAAGCCUGACGGAGCAAUACCGCGUGAGGGAAGAAGGCUCUUGGGUUGUAAACCUCUUUUCUUAGGGAAGAACAAAAUGACGGUACCUAAGGAAUCAGCAUCGGCUAACUCCGUG
rnacentral:rRNA from 1 species